UGCUGAGGUGAGAGCAUUGUGGGACCUUGGGGCCACCAGGUGACCCCUGCCAGCAUCUACUGCCCAAAGCUAAGCACGGUCGGGCAUGACCAGUACUCGGAUGGGGAGACCACCUGGGGAUACCGGGUGCUGUAGGUA
ensembl:rRNA 5S_rRNA 5S ribosomal RNA